AAUAACACAUGAUCCCUGCCCAUUCUUUCAAAAUUGCUGUCUUCAUAAUCACUCAGUCCAAAUGCAGGGAAGAUAUAUAUCCUGUCCCCAGAUGCGGGUGCUUUUCCUGGGCUGCGGACACAACUGGGAAAUGAUGAAGGCCUUGCUCCUCGCCGUGCUGGCUUUGAUCCUAUGUGCAGAGCAAGCAGAUGCCCUGUACUGCUACACCUGCGAGUGGGAGCAAAGCAACUGGAGCUGUCUGAAGGCCCAGAAGUGCUCGGACAAGGAUGAGUACUGUGUGACAAAUGUUGCCUCCGUAGGGAUCGGCUUUUUGUCUCUGUGGAAGAGGAUCACCAAGAAGUGCUCUGGGAGCUGCCCGUACCACAACUUCAGCCUGGGUCUGGCCACCUACACCUCGUACUGCUGCCAGACCUUCCUGUGCAACCUGAGCGCCUGCCCAGGGCCCAGGCUAGCUCGUCCUUGAGAUGCUGGGGGUCCUGUGUCAGUGUCCUUCUUCACUGGUGGUGGGGAGAAAGGGGCUCCUGAUGGCCUGAAGAGCAUGGAUGGAUUCCCCCAGGAGGCUACGCUGCGCUGCGAGGGCAGAUCUCCACGCCGAAGAAGCUGUGCUGGCGAUGCACCUCCCUUUACCUCUUCAUU